UCCUCAGAGUUUAAGUUCUUCUGUCACAGAGCGUCUGAUCUGUCUUCAUGAGCUCUGACUGAAAACUAAAUCAGGAUGGUGUUGACAGUAACUCUGCUGCUCAUGUUGGGUGUUCUGAGUCAGGAGGCUUUUGCAAACAACUUUCUGACUCAGACUGACAAAUCCAAGUCUGUGAGUCUUGGUGGGACUGUGACUAUCAGCGCCACAGGGAGUUCUAAUAUUGGUGCUGAUCUCAGUUGGUACCUUCAGAAACCUGGACAGGUUCCUAAACUGCUUAUAUACAAAGCAUCAACACGCUUCCCAGGGACCCCGUCUCGAUUCAGUGGCAGUAGAUCUGGUUCUCGCUACACUCUAACCAUUCAAGGUUUUCAGGCUGAGGAUGUCGGAGAUUAUUACUGUCUGGGCUACCAUGGUAGUGACGGUUUCACACAGUGAUUCAGAGCCGUACAAAAACCUCCUUCAGUUUGACUGAAGUGAAAGCGUCCUGCUGCAGGUGCAGAGGGUUGGUGUUCUGUAAAGAGAGCCAAUGGUCCAGUGAACAUGAGAGUCAUCAAGCAGAACCACAGAGACUUUAAAUCAAA